rnacentral:rRNA from 1 species
UACGAAGGGGGCUAGCGUUGUUCGGAAUUACUGGGCGUAAAGCGCACGUAGGCGGAUCAGCAAGUCAGGGGUGAAAUCCCGGGGCUCAACCUCGGAACUGCCUCUGAUACUGCUAGUCUAGAGUCCGGAAGAGGUGGGUGGAAUUCCUAGUGUAGAGGUGAAAUUCGCAGAUAUUAGGAAGAACACCGGUGGCGAAGGCGGCCCACUGGUCCGGUACUGACGCUGAGGUGCGAAAGCGUGGGGAGCAAACAGG